GCUCGCAUAGCUCAGCGGUAGAGCAUUGUACUUAUGGGUUAUCCUACUUGAGACGGUAAACGUGAAAACGUGUUACGGUAUGCAAGGGUCGCCAGUUCGACCCUGGCUGUGAGCA